rnacentral:rRNA from 1 species
UACGGGGGGAGCAAGCGUUGUUCGGAAUCACUGGGCGUAAAGGGAGUCUAGGCGGUUUGGUAAGUGGGAUGUGAAAUCCCCGGGCUCACCCCGGGACCUGCAUCCCAAACUGCUGAGCUUGAGUACAGGAGAGGGUGGGGGAAUUCCAGGUGUAGCGGUGAAAUGCGUAGAUAUCUGGAGGAACACCGGUGGCGAAGGCGCCCACCUGGCCUGCUACUGACGCUGAAGCUCGAAAGCUAGGGGAGCAAACGGGAGUU